GGCUGGUCCGAAGGUAGUGAGUUAUCUCACUUGAUUGUUCACAGUCAGUUACAGAUUGAACUCCUUGUUCUACUCUUUCCCCCCUUCUCACUACUGCACUUGACUAGUCUUUU
rnacentral:Y_RNA from 13 species